rnacentral:lncRNA from 1 species
GCGAUUAAAAAACAAAACAAAGGGCUGAUAAAAAACAAAGGGAGAAAAUACCACCUUCUAGCUGGGCGAAAGAGCAGAUGCGGAGCAGAGGCGCAUCCGCGCGGAGGAGCCGAGGCGAAGAAGGCGAUGCAGGUACUUCUUCAUCCACGCCUUGCAUUUUUAUCCUCCUCCCACCUCCCGUUCGAAUCCGCGUCGGGCCACCACAUCCCAGCUCCACCUCCCCCCUCGGGCCGCCGCAUCCUAGCUGCCUCUAUUGCUUCUUCAGUGACGGUGCAUUCAGCCAUAUUGCGCAUCCUCUCACUCCGUAAGGAACCAGUUCGCUCGUCAUCUUCCUCGCGUCUGACCUCAUCUCUACCCCCACCGUCGUUCGUGCCUUCAUACUCCGUUCCCUGUGGCCGCCAUCGGGACGUGCUGCUAUUCGCUCCCGAGGUGGCCACGAGGCUCUCCGUGCCCAAGCUGCCUCUACGCACUGGCAGCACCGCCUGCUGUGCGUGCCUCCUGGUGUACCCGCCGCAGGGUCCUAGCCAUGGCAAGCCCACGAAUAGAGAAAGCCAACAACAUAUUCCGCCAUUCCUCAUUCUAUGUUCUGAUGUUUCUUCCCACAUCUUCCAUCGGCCAAUGUGACAUUUUGAAGAACAUAGCGUCGCCUUUGCUAAAGACUCCAUCCGUGCGUGCUAGCUAUUUGAUGAUACGCCUCAGCAAAAUGUGUUGUCCAGGUCGCCCUGUUGUGUUGCACUGUUGCACACGGUCAUGUUGUAUGACGCAUGCACAAUUGCAUACAUGCUUAGCCACGCCCGCACUAUACGCUGUUGAUCCUCUUCAUCCUCCACAUGCUAAUGCGGUAUUUCAAAUAUGCCAUGCUUUAUAUAUGUGCAUAUAUUGAUGCAUACACACACGCACAUAUGUAUUUUUGUGUGUGCGCAUAUGUAUGUAUGGAUACACACAUCAGAGUAAUAGGAAUGUUUAUAUGUCAAGAGGAAAGAGCUGAUUGAAUUUGUAUUUUCCGUAGUGGAGAAGGGAACGUAACAAAUGUUAACUAACUACUAUAAAUGAAACACAUAAAAGGUUAGUCAAAUAUGUACCAUAUAAACCCAAAGGAAAUGGUUGUAAUUUUUAAAAAAAAACUAUUAUGUAAAAAAUAUAAAUCUAGAAGUAAGAUUGUAACACGUACCUGUCUUCGAGCGAGGUCUUCUUUUUUUAGACUAAUCGGGAUGAAGAGUAGAACAAUAAAAUGAUAAUGUGACAGAGAGGUAAGGGUAAACAUUAGCUUUCAAUCGGUUGCAGUUAAAAAAAGUGCUAAUGUAACUGGCAAACCUUUUAAAAAGAAAUGUCAUAUUAAGCCAUAUAUGCCACCAUUUUCUCAACACAUAUAUUCAGUAUUUGUGCAACCUUUUGUACCGGUUGACCAUGAUAUUCUUCUAAUCUGAACGCCAAAGGUUGUGAAGACACCUGAAUCGACGAUUUCAUUUUAUUAGCCAUAUCAUAGGAAGGAAUUGAGGGCAAGCAAAAAACAAGCAUAUUGGGAUUAUAUGGUUACUUUCCAACAUGCUUGUUUUAUAUAUCAUCGUAUCUCUAUUUGUUUCUAUCAAAAAAAAACCAUCAACAUUAUAGUUAUAAUAGCCUUAUAUAUAGUAUCCCUCCUUUAAUAUACAUAUUUUUCAGGGGCGAACCCAACAAAAAGUUUGAGUGGGGCCCAAAACCUGAGUGGGGUCUAAAUAAAUACCUAUUUACUAAUGGACCUUUAUAGCUAUAGUGAAUAAGAUAAAAACUCCAUUAGAAUCAGAAAAUUGAGUCAGCCCAACGUGAGUCCGCCCCUGAUAUUUUUGGUAGAAUCGUACAAACUAGCGCGCGUAGGAAGCGCGUUAGACACUAGUGUUAUGUAAUAGUGGGCUGGACGAGCUGUGGUUUCGUGAGAGUAUAAGUACUUGAACAAUGUAAUAGGCUGGUAACUUUUUGAGAAGAGCAAAAUAUACGCCGCCACUCCGUCCGGCGUUCGUCUCCCCUCCCCCACGCCAUAGCCAUACCUCCCUAACACGAGGUUCCAUCACCCACAAUCACAAAAUGGAAGCUUCAAAGAAUGUCUUGACCACGUUUGGCACUUCGAUAGGUAGGCUUGCCCAUACUCUGGUCUGAUCAGUGUGUUGCAACCAUAGCCAACGUGUUUGAAGUGCCAUGCCAGCUAUAGAGAAGUUUUUGACCCCAAGUUCACUAGAAGAUUUUGGCUGACAAAUAUAAUGCCAAGCCACUACCGCCUUCCCAUUUGUUGAGUUAUCUGAGCCUGUCCAAAAGAAUAUACGAGCAAUGGUAUUAAUUCCUUUCUUAACCCAAGUAGGAACUUGCUCAGCCAUCAACGCAAAAUUUGGAAGUUCCAGCAGUGUGGAUUGAAUUAGAAUAAGGUGACCACUUUUUUCUAACAAGGAUCUUGCCAAGCUGGUAGUUUUUUGGCCACUUUAUCAACUAUAGGUCGAAGGUGGGAAUUUGGAAUCAUUCUAGUUGAUAGCGGCAACUCCAAGGUUAGUUUGGUAGCCACAAAAUCGAAGGGGAUUUUGAAUAAAGAAGUGAUUUUAGUCUCUCUAAUCUCUUCCGGUUUUUAAACUCCUAAACUAGGCCUAAAUAUUUGAUCGGGGUCGAAAAGAGCUAGCAGUUAAAAAUACGAGGAAUUAGCACAAAACUUUCUAUAUUAGAGUGGUUUGGUACUAACACAUAGACAUUAAAGUCGAUACGUUCAGAUAAGAUCUCAAUUGGUUGGCCUGUGCUCUUGACGAUCCGAGUUGUGCCCGUCAUAAAAUCUCUCACCCAUGCAAGCAAAUCGCAUGAAAUUUAACGUAAGAAAAUGAAACUUGAGGCACCUAGAUGCAUCAUACAUGCAUGCUAUCAUCUCCGUACGAAACACCGCAAGGUCAUUUCCCUCUUUCCGUGCAGAAACUAGACUUGCUUCUGAGUGCAUCUAGAUGGUUAGGUUUUCAGAUCAAUAAGCUCUGUUACUAGGACACAUGAACAUACAAUAAGCUAGUGCUGCUGCUGUUUACAUCUUCGUUGCUCGUUGGACGGGUUAGCCAUUGCGAUUUGAUAUACACACACAUAUAGUAAUUUGCAUAUAGCAUAGAUAAUAAGCUAACAAAGAAACUUGUACAAUAUAGUUGUAUAUUAAUUAACUCCAAUAGACAUCACAAUAAUUUUUCAUAUAUGAUAUAUAUGGAGAAACAAGACUUACAUGAUUACAUCUCUGUUAACUUGAACUUGCUUCCACGAAGACCGCCCAAAUUAAAUGAUUCUAUUAUAUAUAAGAGAGCUAAUCUUCAUGGUCAAUUCCUUCUCAAUACAUAUGAUCAUAUAAAUUUGUGGAAAAUCAUAUUCUAUUCUAUUCUAUUCUAUUCUAUAAGCGUGUGUCGGUGCCCUGAAUAUGCUUUGGGCACUCAUUCCUGCUAUGUCAAAGUGAGACCCUAGUGGCCACCGUUGAAGAUCUCACGGGCAGCCGACCUAACAUGGGGCUGAGGCCCACCAUAUGGAGUCGUGGCUAGACCAGGUUCGUCUCUUGGGCUGGACGACCGUCUACAUCAAGCCCCAUAAAGGGAGGAACCGACAACUUCAAGUCUGGGAUCCUGCAUAUAGGACCAGGACCUCCUUGUGACCCGACGAAUCUCCGGACAAAGGGAUCCGGAUAGAACAUAAAGCCACGGAGGAGAAGGCACUCUCCGGUUACAGCACCAAGGCUUCAGAAUGGUUCCAAGAAUGGGAAAUAACACCCGAACCUCAGGCCACGUGAGGUCCGGUAUCGCCACGUAUCCAGGCGUGGGUGGCCGAAGCCCGGACCCCCUCGAGUGCGAUCCGGGCCCAUGAUCAGGGAAUGCUUGGGAAUACCAUGUCGUCGCUUAUUCUCGGGCCUAUCCCUUAUCCAGGCAGGGGCAUGAAGAGACGGAUGGAGAAGACGAGAUGACAUGAUCGUUACACCCUACGCACGAGAGCGUAUCAGGCUACACCGCAACCUACAUCAAGACCUGAGUUCCGAUUAGACGGGGCAAGGUGACAGGAUAAGGACGACAGAAGAUCGUGCAACGUCCAAGAAGGGAUACAGACUCAUGAAGAUCUAGCGUUGUCAGCUCUACCCAAUUGUUUCUCGUUCCAUAUUGUACUCUCUUAGGCCCAUCGGUCAGAGCCAAAACUCCCUUGUAUGUGCCUUCCUUGGACUAUAAAAGGGAGAGCACUUGCUCUGUAGCAGGGAGAGGUCAAUCUAACACUCGGACCUUCGACUCCCUAACUCUAAAGCAAUAUAACUCAUAGUGAAUGUGAGAUACUAUGCUCCGGUGGCCUGAAACGCUCUAAACCCUUGUGUUCUUGUGUCCAUCUAGAAGGCCAGACAAUCAACUAAACCUACUCCUCAUCAGAGUACCAGGGCGGAUGCAAUCUACCACCCGGCCGGAGGAUUCGCCCCUGCAACAACGUGUUUUGACAAUUUUUGUAGUUGAAAACACUAUCUUAGUGGUUGCAGGUUAGGCAAGAGGGACUACCAUUAAUCUUAAUAAUCUAUUAAUCCGUAGAACUUUUACCCAAUUUAAUGAGUCCUUUCAUCAGCGAGUGAUGGUAAUGUAUUUAGCUCUAGGUGAUGUAUACACCAAGCUGAUAAUGUGGAAGUUGGCGUUUUAAUUGGAACUUUCUUGAUUGAAAAAUCAGUGGUGUAACUUUGAUAUAUCAAAAGUGUCUGUUCUUGGAUUCAAAGAAACAGAGAGCGAUAAAAGCUCUAUCGCAAAGCUAAAACGAUCAUCUAACUCAAUUAGUUGUUGAUCAACCGUUACAUUAAACACAUCUACUUUAUAAUAGUGAAGAGUUACAGUGUUACCACGCUUGUCACUGUAUUACGUCGCCAUAGCAAGCUUGAUUCCAAUAUGCUCCAUCCAUCCACAGGACAGGAUUGUGAUAACUGAUGAGACCAAGAUAUGAGCCGGCGUUGUUAUCAUGGUGUCAUAUAUAGUUUACCUUCAUCCCCUACCGGCCUGAUGAUUCUGAGGAAGUGACGUGAUUCAACUGCAGCAUUAUAUGUUUCUUCUCUUAACAAUGUUUUUUUAUAAAAAAAAAGAACACAGAAGUUUGAUAAAUUUUGCAUGAAAAAGCAAUCCUGUCAAAUUGCUUUGAGAUUUAUGUGUUCAAAACAGCCUCGUCUUAGUUGCUAUUGCACCUUUACUCAUGUACUAGGUAGGGUGUUUGGUGCAUGCCGCAGGAUGCCGAGCCGUAGCUGAUUCGUGCCAAACAUUUGGAAGACUUGGGCAUAAAAAUACACUGAGCUUCGACGUCUCAGUUGCGGCAAGAUUAUACAUUUUGGCAUCUCUGGAUUGAAAUUCUUGUGUGUCGCAAGGAACACAGAACUCCGUUGCGUUUGUGCUAUUAUCAGGAAUUACAGGCAGAGUGGAGAAAAUGAGGAAAAAGAAUUAUAUAUAGCAGGAGCACCGCACCACCAAGGGGACUCAGGCUCAGCCAGCGAGGGCGUCGGCACCGGCGACGAUCUCGAGGAUCUCCCCGGUGAUCUUGGCCUGGCGCUGUCGGUUGUAGGCGAUGGAGAGGUUCUUGCGGAGCUCGAUGGCGUUGUCGGUGGCGCUGCUCAUGGCGCUCAUCCGGGCGGCGAGCUCGCUGGCGAGCGACUCCUGCAGGGCACGGAGGAUCUGGCUGUUGAGGUAGAGCGGGAGCAGCGCGUCCAGGAUCUGCACGGGGUCCUGCUCGAACUGCACCACGGGGGAGAAGGGCUGCGUCUCGAUCUUCACCUUCUCGCGCUCCACGGUGAGCUUCCCCUCCUUGGUGGUGAGGCGGAAGAGCUCGUCCUCGGUGGCGUCCACGCAGACGCCGUUGACGUCGCAGAUCUCGCCCUUGGGCGACAUGGGGAGCAGCGUCUGGAUGAUGGGGUCGGAGCGCACCAGCGACACGAACUUGGAGUAGAGCAGCUCCACCUUGUCCACCUCCUCGGAGACGAAGAGCGAGUAGACGAGGUCGCAGAUGGCCUGCGAGUCCUUGACGGUGGGCACGCUGCUCACCUCUAGAUCGCGCUCCAACGGGAUGUAGGGGCGGCGCUGGAAGUAGGCGUUGCCCUUCUUCCCCACGCUGACGACGGUGUACUGGAGGCCCAGCUGCUUGAGCUCAUCGAUGCGGGUUUCCGCCUUCUUGAGCACGUUGUUGUUGAAGCUCCCGCAGAGGCCGCGCUCGCCGGUCAGGACCACGAGGGCCACCUUCUUGACGGGGCGGGUGCGGGUGAGGGGCAGGUCGAUGUCCUCCGUCUGGAUCUCCUGGUUCAUGUUGUAGAGCACCUCCACCAGCGCCUCCGAGAAAGGGCGAGAGGAGACGACGGCCUCCUGCGCGCGCCGGACCUUGGCGGCGGCCACCAGCUUCAUGGCCUCCGUGAUCUUCUGCGUGUUCCUGACGGAGUCGAUGCGGGUGCGGAGCUCACGGAGGGAACACCGCACCAGGAGACCCGAGCGCGGGGGGGAGCGCCGUCGGGUGGUGGAGGCGCUGCUGGCGAGCGCCGAGGAGGACCAGGCGGUGGAGAGGUGGGAGCACGACAUGGCUGCUGGUCCGCGGCGCGCGGGGUCGGGGGGAAGCGGAAGAGACAAGGGGCGGGACGGGAUGGGAGCGAGGGAAAUGGGUUUGGAUGGAUUGGGUUUGGGUGGAGAGGUGUGCACGGUGGGGUAUUCAAGCCGAGCUGAGUGGUGGAGGGGCAGUGAUGGCGAGAUGGGGAGGAUCAUGUGGAUCUGCCGAGCUGGCUGCACCGCUUUGCAAUAUGACGCUCUCCGCAGUCCAUUUUUGCUUGUCAGGAAUGGAAAACAAAAUAAUGCUCUGGGGAAACUGGGAUCCUGCCCAGGAUAUCCCACGGUAAAAUAGCAGAUACUCCCUACGAUCACAAUUUGGAGGAGCUUUGGCCCAUCUCUACAGGAAUCAAAUCGUUUCCAGUGAAAUCCUGAAUAGUUUCUGUGUUCCAAACGCAACAAGUUUCAAGCCUGUCCCGAAGAAACCAAUUUGAGCUCAACUCCCAGUUAAAAACGGCACUUUGAAGAUUUAAUCUGCUGAGUUGAACUUCACUGUUGAUUUUUCUUGGACUUAAAUUGUUAGUACUCUAAAUCCUCACGUAUAAAAAAACGGCUCAACAAAACUGAUGCAAAGUUCAUCUCAAAGAAAUACAUAGGAGAUGAAAUUGGUAUUUCAAGGUACUCGAACAAACACACAGAUUGAGAUACAUACAAGUACAACAAUAUCAGGUUUAAGGGAAUGGAACAAGUACAACAAGAUCAAGUUUAAGGGAAUGGAACCAAUUCUGGAAAGUAAGUUGAACCUCAGGGUACCAACGACAGCAUGACACCCGCGUAAGCCUAAUCCCUUGCAGUUGCAGAUUGAGGAUCUUUCCUUGGUGGCUUGUAGACACUGAAGUCACCAAAAUCCCGCCGUCCACUGAACCACACAAGAGGUCAUACAGAUAACAGUAAAUAUCUGGUGAUGAAAGGAAAUCUGGACAAAAAGACAUUACGACAAAUAGAAAGAUCUUUUAAGGUCACUGGUACAUGGCUAUAACUUCGAUAUUCGCUACAGCUUGGCCAAUUCUAAGCACCAGGAAGUUCAGGCAAUUAUGCAACUAAUCAGCAUGCAUAGCGCACAAGAGAAGAUAUAUAUGAAAGGCAAACAACCUGUGGUUAAUAUUCCAGCCAGAAGGUAAAUAACGGGGGUGAACAGCUUCAACAAAGAUCUGCCUCCACCUUUGGCAAAACUGGUUAACAAAUUCCUCUCCACCAUUAGAAAACAAAAGUUCCACAACUUGUUUACCAUGAUGCCCAUGACCCAACAGGGAUAUCUUCUCAGCAUUCUUGGAAAUGACCUGACUAGAAUUGUCACAUAUGGAUUGUUCCUUGUCGUCAUGACUGUUUCCAGGAGUACAGGCACCUCUUGCUUGCUGCUCGGUAUCGGUCUCGAGUGUCACAGUGUCAUGAUCAGAAGUGGUGUCCUCCAUGCUGACUGGCAAACUUGAGCUUCCCUGGCUCAGGGUUAAAUUCUCUAGCUGGUUUUGAUUCCCUGUCUCAUCAAACUCUUGCUGACCAUUACUACCAGUUCCAACCUCAGGAAAUCGCGCAGAUAAGGCAUGACAAUUUUCUGAUCCAUGUCCACUGUCUUCUGAGAUGGUAUUGCUGCUGCUCUUUCUAAUAAUAGUUUGAGCCUGAGCUCUAAACGAAUAUCCCUUUUUCUUUUCAAGACGCCUUCGCUCAUGAGGGCUCAUACCAACAAGUAAUGCCAUCUCGAGAUCUUCAGGAGUCACAUCUCUACCACCAUAGUAUGACUUCACAAUCUGCAAAGAAUUGAACUGGUUCAUAACAGCAACCUAUAGCUAAGAGCAAGUACAUAUUUAACAAGGGAAGCAUAUGGACGGAUAGGAUCAAACAUGUUAAUACGUCGAUGUCACUAUGUCAGCUCCAGAAACUGUUAAGUAAUCCAUAUUGAGCCAGAAAUACAAAAAGGAUGUCAUCACCUGCAUUAGCUCUUCACAUCUCUUCAAUGGCAUAGUGGAUCCAUGACGUAGAAGAGCCAUGGCAGCAGUCCUCAGCUGCAAUGGGGAGACACCUGUUCCAUUCAAUUUAUCUUCAGAUACUGAUGUGUUGGUAAUCAAACUUAUAUCACCCGAGUUCAUUAUCUUUUGCACAAAAAGGGGUAUUCCAAAUUCUUCUGCUAUUCGCCUCUUGUAUUUCUCAGCUGCUGAAUGAGCUAUUUCAUGACAGUCUACACAAAGAAGUACAAUAUCAUGUGAACGAUGGCUCUUUAAAUGUUCUGGAAAAUGCAUCCUGUAGCAUGACGGUAUUAUUCUGUAUCUAAUAUAAUGGCUCUUUUCUCCACAGCCCACACAAAUAUUUUUCUUGCUCUGAAUAUAGAACUCGUUAUCUUCAUCCUCUGGACGACCUUUAGGUUCAAAGAGAAGCAUGAUUGCUGGAGGACUAUUUUCAAUCAAUUUCGCCAAAUUACGCUGAAUGUACCUGGGAUAGAAGAGCUCAUCAGUUUGCCAAAAUAAUUCUUCAUUCAUGCUACAUGCAUGUAAAUAGCUAAUGAGCAUAUAUUUAGGAGACAAACCAUUCCAGUUUUUUGCGGUCACAGUAGCAAAGUAGUCUUCCAUCACUAGCAUAAAUCCUGCAAUUGUGAUAUACCGGGGACUUGCAGGAAAACUUUUUAAUGAAUAAAUCCCGUGAAACCUUUUUAUUAGGCAGUGCUGUCAACUUCUUUCCACUUGGAGCAACGGAAAACAUACUUGUUUGCUUCAAACUUAGGUGUGUUAUAAGGUUAUAAUUAUAAACUGAUAGUCGACAUAAUCCACUUGGAUCUUUAUACUUCUCUAGUAAACUUUUAAAGAUGCUGUCCAUGCUGGUAGUGAUGUCAUCCAGCAGAUAACAGAGUUCUUUGACAUGAGCCACAACAAGAGGUGACGGUGAUGACAAGGAAGGGUACAUACUUGAAAUGCUUAGGUCAGUUUCUGCUAUGACAGCAAACACCUCUGUUGGGCCCUUUGGAAGACUAACGGCAAGGGCAGCUAUAGCUUGGUCUGGCAGAACAUAUCGUAAGCUUUCAUCAUGCAUCCGAGCCUGGAAUGAUCCAAAAUCCAAGUUAUUAUGAGAUAUCAGAAACGAAGAAUAGACCCACCACAACUACAUAACUGCAAAUAUGCAUGAUAUCCUGGAAAUGCAUUUACUUCAAUGUGCCCAACGUUAUGCAACUUGCCUGAGUGACAUUUGGUGGUCACCCAGGAUUCAAAAGGUGAUAAGGCACACAACUAGUUUGCUGCUGCUUUCACUUGUAUGAACAUCAAGCUUUGCUGAUUGGAGGUAACAACAAAUAAGCAAUUAAAAAGAUCUACUUUGCAGAAGGGGAUGCAGCUAUUCUAAGGAAAACAGUUUUUUACUGACCAUUAAGUCCCUCCAUGCACAAAAUUUCCAAACAAGAUCCUGUGGAUGCAGAAGAUUAGAAAUUCAGGAACAGAAAAUACAAAAUCGCUGGCUGGCAAGCUAACCAGAAGACAUUCUACAAUCAAAAACUGAAUACAGAAAAGAAGUACCUUCACUUCACUAGACUUUUUGGAGUCGAACCCAUGAGUUUGCAAAUUUCGUGAGAGAAUAGAUGUUGCACUGGAAGCUCCAGGAGGGGAUUCAAUUUCUUUUGAAUACAGUUGCAUGCACACCAUAUUUGAGCGAUGACUAGCCUCGAAGAAAAAAUUGAUUUUAUCACUGGAAGUAUCUGAUUAGAUAUUACAGAUGAUCAAAGACUUGAGACAUAUGAUGAAGGCCAAGGGUACCACCAUAUCAAUAUGUGAUUUAAUGUUGACAAGAAAAGAUAAUAUUUAGGAUUAUCCAAAUUUUAUGAGGGUUAAAGUAUCAAUUUCUGCAGUUAAGCAACAGGAUAGCACUAUAUUCAGGAUAGCAGUUAAAGUUGACAAGAAAAUAUAAUAUUCAGGUCAUCACUGACAUCUGCCUUUCUUGGUCCCUGAUAGAGAUUGUAUAGGAUUGUAUAGUUAUUUGGCACCAGGUCGGCGGAAGCACCGGAGCACAUACAAGAUGAUGCGCGCAGCCCGCAUGCAGGAUGCAUCCGAGCAUGGCCCAUAAAAAAACUGGCGCCAGCCCCCAAGCAGGAUAUAUGCAUGCACUGCAUGCAGCAUCACGUAAACCGAGAGAGCUAUUUUAAUAGUUUUUCGUUAUAUCUUUUAAUUAAAAGAUUUAAUCGUCGAACCGAUCUCAUGUUUGUGUUUAUAAGUUUUUUGUGAUCAAAACUAGACCACACAUGCAAUAUACUUUUAAUAUUUUAUUACUCAUUUAUGUGUGCGCGCGUGGGUGCGUGUGGCGUGCGCGCGUGUCACUGAACCGGUUCGGUGCACCACCGGACCGAGCCACGUCAGCUAGCCGUUGAACCAAAACAGCGCGCCCACGAACUAGCCGUUGGUUGAGGUCCGGUGCACCACAAGACCCUGUACUAUUCACGGUCCGGUGAAUUUUAGCCAAAAUUCUCGAGACCAUAUAGUUUCCCGCAGACGGUCCGACGCACACCGGACCGACCCUGUAGUCCGAUGCACCCAGACAUCACCCUUCAAGUCCUUUUCUUCUCCAUUUCUUUUCUAUUCAACAAGUCAAAGUGUACUUAGCUCUUUGGGCCCUUCCAGGUCUUGACUUCAAUACUUCUCCACUUUUUAUGACCAUGUCCUACUACUUGAGCUAGGAUCUUGAGCCUUAUGACUUGAGCCAUGAAGAUUGUCGAAAGAAUGUUCCUCAACAUGAAAGAGUAAGAUGCGAAGAAAAAGGCCGAAGAAGAAUCGAGAAAAAGACCGAGGAAGACAAAGGAAAAGGCAAGAUGGAGUACAACGACGACUUGAUUGAGCUUUUGGUGUCCAAGGUGAUGAGCAAGGUAAGUCUCAACACCGAAUAAUCAUCCACCAAAACCAAAGAUACCGAAUUCAACCGAUUUCAAUUUGAUUAUUCUCGUAAUUUUGUACUCAACUUCUCUUCGGCACCCCUUGUAAAGCUUACAACUCUUAUUGAGUAUGACGAGUGGACCGACAAGAUGAAGUAGCAUUUAAUCGGUGCACAUCCAAGUCUUUGAGAGAUUAUCAACAUAAGUUUGAACAAGGCUUCUCAAGGAGAAGAGAUGACACCAGAGAUUAUGCAAAAAAAUGCAUCGCAAUGCUUAAGCCGCAUAAUCAAAAUAGCACUAAGAUCAAGAUAGCACAAUCUGAGGAAGCUCCAACCAAGACAAGGGACUCUUUAAAAGGGAAAUGUGCCCUUGGACAAUUUCUAUAAAUGUUUUGGUGAUUAGAUGCCCAAUACAUAUUGUGUUUAAGGUGAUGUGUACUAAGUGUUGAAGAGAUGCAAAUCAAGAAUCAAGGUAUGACUCUAGCCUUAGUGAAUUGUUUUUGGUACUAACAUAUUCCUCUAAGUGCUAGGAACCUUGUCAAAUCAAAUGAGAUUAGAUUGGAGAAGUUUGGCUAAGUCCAGCCAGACUUGCACCAGCCUUCAGUGCACCGGACUGUCCGGUGUGCACCGUACAGUGUCCGGUGCCCAGGCUGGCUCAACGAUGAACUCGCUACUCUCGGAAAUUGCAGAGGGUGCUGCGGCUAAAAUUCAUCGGACUGUCCAGUGGUGCACCGAACUGUCCGAUGAGCCAAUAGCGCCCGCGCCAAUGGUCGGCAACGCGAUCAGCGGGCGACACGUGGCCAGAGCCAACGGUCACUAGGCCGCACCGGACUGACCAGUGUGCACCGGACAAUGUCCGGUGUGCCAAGGGGACCGAGGGCUCAACGGUCGGCUUCGCCAGAGAAGGAAAGAAAUCAGGCACUGUUCAUGUCCGGUGAUGCACCGACUGUCCGGUGCGCCAACCGACAGAAGGCAAGAAUUGCCUACCAAAUGGAGAUCCAACGGCUACUAGCUGCCUUGGGACUAUAAAAGGGGGGUAGGCGCAUGGAGCACAACACCAAGCCUCCAUUGAACAUCCUAAGACGCCUAGACUCCACAAACACGCAUCCGAAUCACUGUGACUAAGAUUUGAGCACUUGUUGAGUUGUAGACUUGUUGCGCUGUGUUUUGUGUGCGUGCCAUUGCUGCGACUCUAGCUCUUGCGUGUGAUUCCUUCCCUCCCUUACUCCUGUGGUUUUCAUUGUGAUUAAUUUUGUAAGGGUGAGAGGCUCCAACUUGUGGAGAUUCCUCACAAGGGAAACAUCAACUAUAAGGAAGAAAAUCGUGGUAUUCAAGUAGAUCAUUGUAUCGCUUGAAAGGGGUUGAGUGUAACCCUCGUCCAUUGGGACGCCACAACGUGGAAGUAGGCAAGUGUUCUACUUGGCCGAACCACGGGAUAAAAAUCGUUGUGUCACCUGUUGUUAUUCUUGUGCGAUCUUCCACUCACUUGAUAAUUGCUCUAAGUUUAAUACUCACUUUGUAAAGAGCAAUUAAGUGAAGAAGUCGUCUCCUUCUCUCUAGACAUAGCACCAUGGUUUUGAUUUCACUAACACUUCAUAAUCCAAGUUUGUGCUAUUUAGUGUUGAUUUUUACAGGAUCACCUAUUCACACCCUCCCCCUCUAGGUGCUCUCACUCUCAUGCCUUGGUUGCAAAUGAUCAAGAUAGCACUAAGAAGGGUAAAGAUAUCAAGUCCAAGAAAGUGUUCGAAAACUCGAGUAAUGAUGAAAGUUUAAGCGAUGAAGACACGACAAUGUUCAUCAAUACCUUUAAGAAGUUCGUUCGAAAGAAUGAUAAGUUUAGAAGAAAAGUAAAGAAGAGGGCAUCGUAUGAGUGUGGCCAAACCGGUCAUUUUAUAGUGGACUGCUCAAGCAAGAAAGAACAAGAAGGACAAAUUCAAGAAAGGAAAACAGGGCAAAGGAUAUUUCAAGAAGUAUGGUCAAGCUUGGUGAGUAAUUAAAUUCAUAUGAGGAUAGUUCUAGCUCGGACGAAGAAGGGGUGGCAAACAUUGAUGUUCAAUCCACCUCGACGUCUCGACUCCUGACCAACCUCUCCGAUGAUUCCUUCACUCACACUUGUCUCAUGACAAAGUUAGACAAUGUAUAUUUGUUUAAUAUAAAUUAAAUUGAUAAUAAUGAUGAACAUAGCAUGAAAAGUAAAAUGAUUAGUGAGUUUAGACUAAAUAAGUAUAAUGUCAUCACUAAGCUUAUAGAGAAACUGGGGAAAAAGAAAGAAACUUUUGAUGCUAAAGAAAAAAAUGAAAAGGAGAGAAACCUAAAGCUAAAGCUUCAAGUGUUGAUAACUAGUAAAAAUGAAAUGUUAAAUGCUUUAACUAAAGAAGUGUAUAUAGCCAAAGUAACUACAGAGGAUAAAAAAAUGAACUCUCUUGUGCUAAAGUCUUUAUAGUUGGUCUUGCAAAUGUCAAAGAAACAUUUGAGUCAAGCAUAUCAAACUUUAAGGUUCAAAACCAAGAACUUCAACAUAUUUUACAACUAGUGUAGGCACACACUUGUUUUCAUGACUUUUCUUUUAGUGUAGUCACCAACAAAUUUUACAACUAGUUUGCCUUAAAGAUAAGAGUGAGAGAUAGGAGUUCGAGCCUUCUCUCCAUUUGUAGAAGUAACAUUCUUCAACUUAUCCUUUGUGUUGCACAAGUUCACCUUCCUUUGAGUUGUUUCACCCUUGUAGGAGUGGAUCCUCCUUAAGGCAUCAUAUAAGGUGGUACCUUAUAUGAACUUAGGGGAUCACCACCCCUUAUGCUCAAUGCUAGGGUUCACCUCAUAAGCGUUGUACCCAAGUCCAUUUUUUCCAUUGUUUUUCCUUAAGGGUUUGUACUUAGGCUCAACCUUACUUAACCCAUCAUUGCUAGAGCGUCUUUUCAAUACUUGUUUGACAUCAACCUUUGAACUAUUCUUCCUUGCAUGGUUAGUUAAGCAACAUGCAGCAUGAUAUUUUAAACAAUGUUUAUAUGUGCUAGUGUUGCAAGAACUAGCAUGAGAGUCUACCACUAAGGUUGAGGUGGUGGAGAUCUUGCACUUGUCAAUUAGCACUUGAAGUUAUUGGUUUUGAACCUUAAAGCUUGAUAUGCUUGACUCAAGUGUCUCUUUGGCAUUUGCAAGACCAACUAUAAAGACUUUAACACAAGAGAGUUCAGUUUCUUUAUCCUCUAUAGUUAUAUUGGCUAUAGACACUUCUUUAAUUAAAACAUUCAACAUUUCAUCCUUACUAGUUAUCAACACCUGAAGCUUUAGGUUUCUCUCCUUUUCAAGGAUGAGCAAGUCUUUUCUAGCAUCAAGAGUUUAUUUCCUUUUCUCUAGCUUCUCUAUAAGCUUAGUGAUGACAUUAUACUCAUUUAGUCCAAACUUUUUAAUCAUUUUACUUUUCAUGAUAUGUUCAUAAUUAUUAUCAUGAAAUUUAAAUUAAACAAAUAUAUCUUGUCUCCCUUUGCCAUGAGACAAGUGGGAAUGAAGUAAUCGUCGGAGAGGUUGGUGAAGAGUCGAGACGUCGAGGUGGAUUAGGCAGCAAUGUUUGUCACCCCUUCUUUUUCGUCCAAGCUAGAACUACCCUCAUCGGAGUUUCAUUCACCAAUGUGAGCUUGACCAUACUUAUUCUUCUUAAAAUAUCAUUUGCCCUUCUCUCCUUUCUUGAAUUUGUCCUUCUUGAAAUUCUUCUUCCCUUCUUGUUCUUUCUUGUUUGGACAGUCCGCUAUAAAAUAACUGAUUUUGCCACACUCAUAGCAUGUCCUAUUUUUCCUUUACUUAUAAAUUUAUCAUCCUUUCAAAAAAACUUCUUGAAGGUCUUGAUGAACAUUGUCGUGUCAUCAUCCCUUGACCUUUCAUCAUCACUCGAGUCUUCAACCACUUUCUUGGACUUGAGAUUUUUACCCUUCUUAGUGCUAUCUUGAUCAUUUGCAACCGAAGGAUGAGAGUCCCUUGUCUUGGUUGGAGCUUCCUCAGAUUCAUGUUGUUGGAUUUUGGCAAAUAAUUGAUAAGAAGUCAUCUCCUCAUAAUCGUCGCGACCUCUUAUCAUUCUUGCCAAACUUUUGUCUUUCUCCUUGUAGGCUCUCAUGAAUAGCCUAGCGACCUUGGAGUCACUUCAAUCCUCACUUCCUAGAACUCUUAUCUUGUUGACCAAUACCAUCAACCGAUCAAAGAGUGAUUGGAGAGACUCACCCUUGAUCCAAUCAUAUCUAACAAGCUCACUCUCUAAGGACUCAAUCCUAUGUCUCUUGGCCUUAGGGUCUCCUUCAUGUGACAUUUUGAGGAUGUUCCAAAUGUCAUGAGCGUCCUCUCUUCCCUUGGACUUUUCGUUACUCUUUCGGACUUAGGCUUCCCUUGAUUAUGCUCACGGCUUGAGCAUUGCGAUUCACUUCUUGCAUCAUCUCUGGUGUUAUCUCUUCUCCUUGAGCAGGCUUGUUCAUACCUAUGUUGACAAUCUACCAAAGACUUGGAUGCACACCGAUUAAAUGCGACUUCAUCUUGUCGGCACACUCGUCAUAGUUUAACUCAAUAAGAGUUGGAAGCUUUCCGAGGGGCGCCGAAGAGAAGUUGGAUACAAAAUUACGAGAAUAAUCAAAUUGAACUCGGUUGAAUUCGGUAUCUUAGCUUUUGGUGGAUUACUCUUCGGUGUUAAGACUUACCUUCCUCAUCAACUUAGACACCAAAAGCUCAACCAAGUCGUCGUUGAACUCCAUCUUGCCCUUUCCUUUGUCUUCCUCGGUCUUUCUUCUCGAUUCUUCUUCUUCGGCUUUCUUCUUCGCAUCUUCCUCUUUCAUCUUAAGGAACAUCCGCUCGGCAAUCUUCAUGGCGAGGUCAAGGAUCUUUGGAUCCAUUUCCUCGCCGAUAGAUGUGGUUAGGAUCUCCUCGGGAUCCACAUUGUUCCUUGAAGUUGACAUGAUCGUUUCCUCACGCGGUUAGGCGGUAAAAACGAGGCACGAAGCUCCGAUACCAAUUGAAAGUAGCCUAGAGUGGGGUGAAUUGGCUAAACCUGAAAAUUAUCACCACAAACUUCGAAAUGAUGUCAAAUCAGCAGUUGGACUGGUGCAGGCCGCUUCAACUGCUAUAGAGGCGAGUUGAACCACUUUGAACCAGUCCAACUGCUAAAGUAAAUAUAGGCUUCGAACUACACGGAAAUACAAUGAGAUUCCUUUAGAAAGGGAACGCAGUGGAUAAACUAAGUGUGGAUGGUGAGAAAUACAAGAGUGAAUCAAUCACGAGAUCCACACGAAGAACAACUCUCUAUGCACUUCUUGCCAACUAUGAAACACAACCACGAAUCCAAGCAAGAACACAAGACAAAAGAUUUAUCCUGAAGUUCGGCCACACCACAAAGGUGCCCUACUCUCUGUUGGGGAGCCCACAAAGGUCGGGUCUUUUCCAACCCUAAUCCUGCACAACCCGACCACAAAGUUCAAGGCAAAUCUUUGCUCAAAUCAGUGUUGGUAUCAACUGACACGUGGUCAAGCGGGCCCAAGCACUCGAGAAAGAGGGUACUCUGGUGCUCAACAAAACAGUAAGCAGGGAACUGUAGCGUCUUGUUUAGCAUGUCCCAUCAAUGUACAGUGCGGGAGUAUUUAUAGGUAACCGGGUAGGUGAGUGUGCCCUCCUAAGUACAGUUAUGCCCUCGGUUACCUGCUACAGCUCCAAAAUAUCCCCCUUUACGGGGUCGUUACAGCGAUGUUAAGUACAGCCUGAUCAUAUACACCGCAAACCCUACCCCCAAGAGGGGCUUACAAAUGGCCCAAACGACAGUAGAACGUGGCUGGGCCCCGUCGUUGGGCGACGCGGUCCUCGCCCGCGCGUGGCACCCUUCGCUCUAAGGUGUCAGGUCUUCGAUCUUGCCGAUACUAUCGCACGGAACUGUUCGAGCUGGCGGGGUUGCCUUCGCGAAACCAUGAGGAGCCCCGGUUUUAAACGGUACAACCCUUCGCUUUUAUGCCAUCGACGGUUUUGGACGAAGACCUUGAACCCGAUACUAGUCGAAGUACCCUCCGCUCCAUGAAUCUGCGAUAUAACUUGUCCAAUUGAUGUUAAAGAAAACUGAUCGAGGGGGCAGACAACCUUCACUCCAACAAUCGACUCACAAGAGCGGGUGUACAAACUUUUGGGGUCGUCCACAAGUUUGGAGACUCCAGGCAACCUCAAUCCGUCAAGGAACUCGAGGGUUCCAAGAACAAUAAGUUUCCAUAAGAGGUGUUUGCAACAAUCUCAAGAGAUGAGAAAGAGAGUGGAGAGGAGAACCAAAUCCGAAAAUCACAAGCACAAACCUCACACCAUGGGCUCCUUCAAUCAAUCGAUUGAGAGUGAGAUUGGGUGAGAGAGAGAGAGGAGUGCUUUGUCUCAAGUUAGGUGACCAAUAAGUGUAGGAGGUGACCAGGGUAAAUGAGGAGAGGUAUGUGGGGGUAUUUAUAGAGUCUCCUCAAAAAGAGUUGUUGGGCUAAACUUUUCUGCGCGGGGCCGGUUGAACCGCCCCCCAACCCCCAGUUGAACUAGUUUUAACCAGAGCAAAACCUAGUUCAAAUCGGGGUAGUUUGACUAUGGUCAAAGUUCCAGGACCGGUUGAACCGCCCCUAGGGCUGGUUCAACCUUCUUGCGGUCAAACUGAAAGUCAGUCUGCCAGUCAGAUUGGUCAGCUGACCCUGACACCGGUUGAACCGCCCCUAGGGCCAGUUCAACUGGUUUUGACCAGAGAGGUUCGGACAGAAAACCCAAGUUGAACUGGCCCUAAGGCAGGUUCAACUGGUUUUGACCAGAGAGUUUCACAACUGAGUCAAGUUGAGCUGUCCUGGAGAAAAACUCAACUCAGCUCAAGUUAAGUUGAACUGUCCAAAAGACAAGUUCAACUCAGCUGAAGUCAAGUUGAACUUUUCUGAAGGAAAGUUCAGCUGCCUUUCAACAGGAAGGAUCUCCGUCUCUCAAACCUCACUUCAGUCGAACCCACAAAGUGUGCAAAGAAUUUGGUUUUCAAAAUAGCUUUUGAAUUUAGAGGCUUGAGAAAUAGUAAACACCAUUACCUGUGCGAAAACUACUAAGAAAUAAAUCCUGCGACUCAAGAAAUAUAGAAAGUUUUGCACGGUCGUCGCACGGAAUCUUUUCAAGGCACCACAUGAUGUAUUUCCUUUGUCCUUGAUACUUCCUUUUUCCUUUCUCAAAUAAAGUUGUUACUCUUUUUAUCUUUAUAGAAACUGAAUAUACACUAGGAGCAAACUUUGUUAGAAACCUUAUUUGUUUUGUCAUUUAAUCACCAAAACCCUCAAUUGGGGUUUAUUACACUUACACCUCCAAGUCACUCGCUUAUUGGGCCAAGGCCCUAGCAACCGCCACCUACCUCCUCAAUAGCACCCCUCCUCUACCAUCGAUAAUCACAUGCCUUUCGAAUUCUCCAUGGCACACAAUUAGACCUCACCCAUCUUAGAGUUUUUGGUUGCAUGUACUUUUCUAACCUCUCUCAUCCAAAGUUGUGCCUUCAUCAGCAAUCCCUCAUCUCACAAGGAUACAACAUCCUCGACUUUGCCACUCAAUGUGUCAUCAUCUCCUGCCAUGUCUUCUUUCACGAACAGGUCUUCCCCUUCGUGGCCUCCUCUCCCCCAUCACCGCGCUCUUUCAAAUUUCUUGUUACUAAUGUAGUUGCAACUCCCCUCAUCGUCUCGAUUUUGGUCACUCUGUCCUCUAAGCGUUGAGAAAUCGCUCCCUUCCGUGGGCGCUCCAUCCUCCAUCGACUUUGAGAACCUGCGCUCCCCUACAGGUCCUUCGGGUGGGUCACAUGUUGCUGACCGCGCCAGCAGUCCCUCCCUUGACUUGUCGUCCUCCCUUGCUGCUACUCCAGCCAUCCCUGCUGCAUCAGCCCCUGCGCCAGCACCUGGUAUUGCACCGGCCCCUGCUGCUAGCCAGUCUGGGUGGGUCUACAAACACCUCCCGCCCUACUCCAUUAAUCCCUCCAUCUGGCGGUUCAGUUCGGUCUACAUGUGUCGGCCUCGGUCGGCCCACAUCCAAGGGCCGCUACCUGCUCGGCAUCGAGCUACUUCACCCGUCAGUCUGUCACCCCAGUGGCACCGAGCUACUUCACCCGGCAGGGUGCCCCGUCUCCGGCAUCUUUGUGGUGCAUCACUAGGUCCAUGACAAGCUCCCUCAAUCCAUCUGUCUACAACUUUAGUGCUACAAAAUCUUCAGUCUCUCGGUGCCAUCAAACUACAGCAGCACGCUCGCAAACCCACAUUGGCAGGUUGCUAUGACUGAUGAGUAUCGGGUGCUUAUCAACAACGAUAUGUGGUGCCUCGUCCCUUAGCCUCCUAGCGCCAAUGUAGUUACGGGCAAAAGGACCGUCAAGCACAAGUUCUACUCGAAUAGUAAGCUUGCCUGCCACAAGGGACAAGGCAAGCUAGAUGAUCUGAGACCUUUUACAGCAGCACAACGUCGACUAUGAUGAAACCUUCAAUAGUUCAACCCGAUGGUCAAACCUGUCAUCAUUCAUGUCGUCCUCAGCACUGUCGCCUCUCGUGUUUGGCCCCAUCCAUCAACUGGACGUCAAGAAUGUGUUCCUUCAUGGCCACCUCGUUGACCCCUCUGCUCCUAAUCAUGUUUGUAUAAUGCAGUAAACCCUCUAUGGUCUGAAGCAGGCUCCUCGGCUGUGGUAACGACGCUUUUCCACAUACAUACACCACCUUGGGUUUGUCAUUUCGGCCUCCGACACAUCCCUAUUUGUUUGCAAAGAUAGAGAUUGUGUUGCCUGCCUGCUUCUCUAUGUUGACUACAUAAUCUUCAUUGCAUCCUCGACGCAGUUGGUGCAGCACUUCACCACGUCUCCGCACCGAGUUCGCCAUGACGGACCUAGGCACUCUUCACCACUUCCCCGUCAUCUCUGUCACGUGCUCCGUUGACAGCCUCUUCCUCUCUCAGCGGCAGUGUGACAUUGACGUCCUGCAGUGGGCGGGCAUGGUCAAGGGUCACUCCACAUCAACUCUUGUUGACACUCAUGCCAAGCUCUCUUCCACCAACGACGCGCCUAUUGCUAAUCUGACCAAGUAUCGAAACCUCAUCAACGCUUUGCAAUAUCUUACGCUCACUCUUCCCAACUUGGUGUAUGUUGUACAACAGUUCGUCUGUUUAUGCAUGAUCCUUGUGAGCCCCAUCCCGCGUUGAUCAAACGUAUCAUUCAGUAUGUCAAGGGCACGCUGUCCUACAGCCUUCACAUGGGUACUAGCCCGGUUCAUACCUUGAUUGCUUACACAAAUGCGAACUAGGCUAAUUGUCCUGAUUCCCGACAUUCUACCUCCGAUUAAUGUGUCUACGUUGGCGAUAAUCUUGUCUCUUGAUUCUCAAAACGUCAGACGGUUGUCUGCCGCUCCAGUGCCGAGACAGAGUACUGUGACAUCGUCCAUGCCAUUGCCAAGUGUUGCUUGGUUACGACAACUGCUACAGGAACUUCACACCUCUGUUUCUUCAGCGACCAUUGUGUAUUGUGAUCAUGUGAGUAUUGUAUAUAUGACAGCCAAUCCAAUGCAUCAUUGUCACAUGAAGCAUAUUGAGAUUGACAUACACUUUGUCUGCGAGGUCGCCUUGGGCCAAGUUCAGGUGUUCCACGUGUUGUCCUCUCACCAGUUCGCUGACAUCAUGACCAAGGAGUUGCUUGUUUAGUUAUUUACUAAUUUCGAUCUAGUCUCUACUCUCUACGUUCGUGAUUCUCCGGCUGCGACUGUAUGCGGGUGGGUUGUAUAGGACUAUAUCUAGGCACAUCUUUUAGAUUUGCAUUAGCCUUGUAGGCUUGUACUCCAAGCCAUAUUGACUUGCCUUGUACUCCAAGCCAUAUUGGCCCUAUAUAUAUGGUCAACCCCCCCACACACACCUAAGGGUGUGUGCGUUUCCCAUCUAUCUUUCUACAGCCCCCUUAAUACUACUUCCAUUUUUUAACUACACAUCGGGAAUAUAUAGAGAUGACACAUUCUGCUUACCGUUCGAAAGCUUAUGCUGACAUUGUGAAAGAAGUUUUUUGACACUCAAUAUUAAUAAGAAGAAUUAAGUAGCAAUCUAAUUUUCUGCACGUAAAUAGGAUUGCAUAAGUUUGUUAAUAAAAUACUCCCAGCUUACAUAGCUCCACAGUGUACGACUCAAAAGUUCUUUUUCCAUUGAUAGAACAAUAAAUACUUCCUGAUUUUGAUUGAUUAUUCACAGUUUACCAAAUAUUUCCCAUCAUGGUCAAAAAAUGUAAUCUGUGCAAAAGACUCAUCAUUUCCAGGAAUAGUGCAUUUCAUAUUUCUGAACCCCAGUACUAACAAGAAAUGUAUCAGAGCUGCUAGUGUCCUCCACAUGCAAAAAAGAAUGACAAACAGAAACAUCAUUCUAUUCAAGAAUCAACAAUCUAAGAAAUUUUGCUCUUCAGACCAUGUGAAUUUAGUUUUUAAACUUAAUAGAACUAUGACUUGUAAACUCAAGAAGCAAAUUCAAAUAUAUUAGAUAUCUGUGAGGGGCUGAGGGUACUGAACCAAUGAACAAAAAAAAGCAAACAAUAGGAAAGGAAAAGUUGAUACAGCACUUAGAACAUACCACAGGCUUUUGCAUGGAGCUCUGAUGCCAAACAAUUUGCAAUGUAUAACAGAUAGUGAGCAUCAGUGCGUGCAUACUCGAUCAUUUCUGGAGUCAGAGGACGCAGUCUCCAAUCUUCACGCUGAGAUCAAGUUAGGGAGAAACAAAAUGAGAAUGGAUAUCAGGCAAUUCCGCAAUUGACAUUGGAAUUUUUAAGUUUCAAACAAACUGGUUUGAAUGCCAAAAGAAAUAUGCAUUACAGCAUGUAUGCACUUGGUUAUCAUUUUCAUAAGCAUGCCAUGUAUUCAACACCAAACAUAAUGCUCAAAAGCAAGCAAAUUCAUGAAAAUAUCCUUUUUAAAGGGACUUAGAGUUUGCUCAAUCAAAAAAAAAUCAAAGGUGAUGACAUGAUUUACCUUUGUCUGAAUUUAGUUGACUAAAACGGCAUGGGACCUAUGCAUUCAUAAAUGUUCAGUAAUGACUCCGCAUGAUUUAAGGAUGUGACUACCUAUUAGAGUAUAUUUGAUAGUCUAGAUAUUGUGUAUCAUAGACUGCCAUAUGUAUCUGUGGGUUGCUUUGCCUACCAAGACUACUCUAUAUAAACUAUCCAUGGUCUCAACGCAAUACAUCCAUCUGAUCACAUCAAUCCUAUUUUUCUUCAUGGUAUCACGAGUCCAGGUUUAGAUCAUAAACCUAGCCACCGCUAGCUUCCGCAAACGUGCGCCCCUAGGAGAGAUCAAUCUCUGCUAGGGGCACGCCACCGUUUAGGCACUCGAUCCUAUCAAUCUGGCUGCCAUUGUCGUUCACUAGAUCGUGAUAGAUCUCGCCUAGGUAUUGUCGUCCAUCGACUGGAUAUCCUCUGCAUCAAUCUUCUCGUCGUCGGGUUGUGCCUUGCCCCUCCAUCAAGCCCCAAUGACAUCACGCAUCGCCCCUCAUGCUGGCAGUGCCCCAUGCUUGGCCAUUCCACAACCCCUUCCUAUCAGGCCUUGCCUCGCCCGCUAGAGCAGCCCUGUGACGGGCUACCCUAAGCCACCCACCCACCUGCUAGAGAGAGGGGCCAAGCAGCGGUUGGAUGCUUCUAGGAGCGACUAGACGUACACACCCAUGCGGCUUGCGGCGACUAACGAGGGGGGCGAGGCGAGGUCAGGCGAUGGACGGCCAGGUCUAUCCGCUGGCAACUAAAACGAUGGCCCAUGAUCAACCUGCUAGAUUUGCCCCCAACUUGCGUGCCUCCUGCUAGCAGUCAGCUGCGACCGACCAAGCUCACCCACUGGCGUCUAAGGCGACAAUUAGGGGCCACCUCACUCUCGCUUGCAGCGGCCACGGUGCUGGCCGGAAGCGGCAGUGACUUCUGGUCCCUACCCCUUCAUGCCCUGCUCGUCUCGAAUGGUCUCCCAUAAGUCUGAAUCAAGCGUCGCUCACUUCUCUGCUCUUUCUCUCCCUCUCACUAGUUUGACCAUGCUGGAUGGGAAGAGAUAAGAUGAUGAUGGGGCUUUGUUAUGCGCACCAAGGCUCCUACACGAGAUGUUGUAUCCUUUUUUGUUUGCCCGAUCACUAAUCAAGAUUAAGUCGUCCACCGCCCGUUGACCUUGCACAUACUACUCUGGCAAUGGGAAGAGAUAAGAGGAUGAUGACGGCUUUGCUACAUGCACCUAGAGCUCCUACACGAGAUGAUGUUGUAUCAUCUUUGGGUUGCCCAAUCAUUGAUUAGGAUUGAGUCGCCCACUAAUCAGGAUUGAGUCACCCACCGCCUAUUGAUCUCGCACAUACUACUCCGGCAUCGACUACACCAUCAUAUACAUCUUUGAUUGUGUGUCCUGGUUGGGCAGACGAUGCCAAGGGGAUGCCUUCCUGUGUCGCUUCUCGGUCAACCAAUUAAGCGCAUUCCACUUGGCUACUGCCACGUCGCCUCGUCGAGCCAUAGCACUGCCCCCGUGUCUAUUGUUAGAUAGGACUCUUUUAAUAUUAUAACUCUAUCUCCCUAUUGUAUAUAAAUGAAUAUGAUGAGAAUUACUUUAAGAUACGAUGAUUUCAUUCUGGUUAUGAUGAUGAACUUGUGGCACUAAAGGAGGCUCGGGAUGUUUCCCAAGUAUCUCUCCGUAAGGACCUGUUCGUUGAGAGACCACCCGGGAAAAUUGUGUAACCAUGACAGUGGUAUGGGACACCCUUAGCUAAUUAAUUAGAGGAGCUAGAGGUGUAGUUGCUUCGCCAUCGUGUCGUCAAUGGGGUCUGCGGCACAGUACUGUCUCUGCUGACGCUGGGUGUCGAGGUUCUUUCAUUUGGCUUUUUUAUUAGUCACCACCAGCGAGGAGUACUGUGUUUAUCAAACCCGUAGAAUCCUAACAGACGGAUAUAACCUCUAGUAAAUCUUUAUAAAGGCUACGUAGUGAAACAUUGCCGACUCACCUUGGUAGUGUUUAAGGGUCUGGACAACCCAAGGCAAAAGGGAUCACGACUCAUGGGUAAAGUGUGUGAUCUCUGCAGAGGAAUGAAACUGAUACAUUAGUCGUGCUCCCAGUUAAGAGCGGCCUUGGGAUCCUCUUUGAUUAGAGUUACAAAUGAUCUGAGAUACAAUGGUUACAAUUGAUGAUGAUGGCUCUUUUAAUGAUGGUUCUAACUAUGGAUCCUGGUAUUUCCUCUGUGAGGAGGUACUCUUGGGGAUAAUAACUUGGGGUUCAUGAUAAAACUUGGCUUAUAUUAAUGAAUAAAACUUGACACAGUAAAAGCAAACUGCUUUGAGCCUAACUCCAUAUAAAGCUAGUCCACUUCAGCCAAAUGGGACAUUUGCUGAGUACGUUGAUGUGUACUCACCAUUGCUUUCACAAAACAACAGGUUGCCUUGGAUGCAACAUACGCUCAGGUAAAGAAGAAUAAGGCGCCAAGACGGAUCUCCAGGAGUUCCAGGACUUCGAUGAGUUCGAGAAUUAGGCUAUCGACCUCCCCAGUCAGCUAUCUGUGUUGGGUUUAUUUAAGUUGGGUACGUUUCUAUUAUGUACACUUUGAUAUAAAUGAUGUAAAUGACUCUAGUCUGUAACAUUAUUGCUUACACUUUAUUAUUGUUCGAAACAUUGUGCUAUGAUGAGUCAUUUAUGUAAUCGUUGUGUAUGUGAGUUCUAAUCCUGGCACGUACAUGGUUCGCAUUCAGUUUGCCUUCUAGAACUGGGUGUGACACAAAUAGACCCACAAUCUGUUUCUUUGUUUUUUGUAAUUUACCAUGUGAAAGCAUAAUAAAUAGUGUACUCCUUAGUAACUGAUACAGUUUUUAAAGCAUUCUGUCUCAUAUUUUCCAUGCUCUCAUGGAUGUAUCAGUGUAUAAGACCAACGGGUGUUGAACAAAUGAGUGGCUUUAUUGAGCUCAGUACUUUUA